GAAGCCAGUACUCUCACUUAGCAGCUACCUCAUUUCUGGGCUGAGAUGUUUCAUUUCAUCAGACGGAUUUCUCCACAGCUGAACAAGCACAAACAACAUGGCCAGAAGAAGAAAAGGCUCAUUACAAUCACAAUAUAUGCCAUGCAUAAACCCUAAUUUACAACUGUGGGGGAACACUGCAUUCUGGAUUACCUGUCAGUUGUAGACAGCAGCUAUCACUUCAGACUUACAACAAAGGAGAAAUGGAAGGCUUCCCUGUUCCCAGGAAGAUCUACCAUACAGACACCUGUGAUCAAUAGACUCUUCUUAGUACUGCCUUAGGUGUUAGAGAUUUUAAUUUGAAGUGGGGUUCACAAUAGCAUUUUUAAGAAGCCAAAUCCAGGGUGCUUACUGGGACUAGCCCCUGGGGUG